UGCUACCAUACUAUAUUUAAACACCGGUUUCCGUACAACAACCGAAGUUAAGCAACGUCGAGCCUGGUCUGUACUCAGACGGGUGACCACUUGGGAAUAC